CCUACGGGGGGCAGCAGUCGGGAAUAUUGCGCAAUGGAGGAAACUCUGACGCAGUGACGCCGCGUGCAGGAAGAAGGUUUUCGGAUUGUAAACUGCUUUAGACAGGGAAGAAAAAAGACAGUACCUGUAGAAAAAGCAUCGGCUAACUCCGUGCCAGCAGCCGCGGUAAUACGGAGGAUGCGAGCGUUAUCCGGAUUUAUUGGGUUUAAAGGGUGCGUAGGCGGACUGUUAAGUCAGCGGUAAAAGCCCGGGGCUCAACCCCGGCGAGCCGUUGAAACUGGCUGUCUUGAGAUGUCGAGAGGUAU
rnacentral:rRNA from 1 species